GAUGAAUAGAUGCCUGGAGUCUACAAGAGCAUUCAUGAGGAAAAAGGGCUACAAUGUCUCAAGGUGGACAUGCAGCAGUCUCCCUCAUAGAUGUCAGCAAGAUGGCUCAUCCUGUGGUGUCCUGGCCUUAAAAUUUGCAGAGAACAUUUUACUGGGGGAGGCGAUAAAUAUUCACACUUCACAGAAGGCAGUGGACAAGUUGAGGCUUGACAUAGCUACUUCCCUCCUCAGAGAAUCAGG